rnacentral:rRNA from 1 species
AUACGGAGGGUGCAAGCGUUAUCCGGAAUCAUUGGGUUUAAAGGGUCCGCAGGCGGAUUAAUAAGUCAGUGGUGAAAUCCUCUCGCUCAACGAGAGAACUGCCAUUGAAACUGUUAGUCUUGAAUUCGGUCGAGGUAGGCGGAAUGUGUCAUGUAGCGGUGAAAUGCAUAGAUAUGACACAGAACACCGAUAGCGAAGGCAGCUUACUAGACCUGGAUUGACGCUCAUGGACGAAAGCGUGGGGAGCGAACAGGAUUAGAAACCCCAGUAGUCC